GAUGAACGCUGGCGGCGUGCUUAACACAUGCAAGUCGAACGGAAAGGCCACAGCUUGCUGUGGUACUCGAGUGGCGAACGGGUGAGUAACACGUGGGUGAUCUGCCCUGUACUUCGGGAUAAGCGUGGGAAACUGGGGCGAAUACCGGAUAGGAAUCACAUGUGGGUGUGUGUGUGGAAAGCUUUUGCGGUAUGGGCUGAGCUCGCGGCCUAUCGGCUCGUUGGUGGGGUAUUGGUCUACCAAGGCGUCGACGGGUAGCCGGCCUGUGAGCGUGUACGGCCACCUUGGUACUGAGUUACGGCCCAGGCUCCUACCGGUGGCAGCAGUCGGGAAUAUUGCGUAAUGGGCGCAAGCCUGAUGCAGCGCCGCCUCGUGCGGGAUGACGGCCUUCGGGUUGUAAACUUCUUUCGUAUGGGACGAACCGAAAGUGACGGUACCUGGAUAAGAAGCACCGGCUAACUACGUG
rnacentral:rRNA from 1 species